rnacentral:rRNA from 1 species
CUGCGGAGGGAUCAUUGCUGGAACGCGCCCCAGGCGCACCCAGAAACCCUUUGUGAACUUAUACCUUACUGUUGCCUCGGCGCAUGCUGGCCCCCCCGGGGGCCCCUCGGAGACGAGGAGCAGGCACGCCGGCGGCCAAGUUAACUCUUGUUUUUACACUGAAACUCUGAGAAAAAAACACAAAUGAAUCAAAACUUUCAACAACGGAUCUCUUGGUUCUGGCAUCGAUGAAGAACGCAGCGAAAUGCGAUAAGUAAUGUGAAUUGCAGAAUUCAGUGAAUCAUCGAAUCUUUGAACGCACAUUGCGCCCUCUGGUAUUCCGGAGGGCAUGCCUGUUCGAGCGUCAUUUCAACCCUCAAGCAUUGCUUGGUGUUGGGGCACUGCCUGUAAAAGGGCAGGCCCUGAAAUCUAGUGGCGAGCUCGCCAGGACCCCGAGCGCAGUAGUUAAACCCUCGCUUUGGAAGGCCCUGGCGGUGCCCUGCCGUUAAACCCCCAACUUUUGAAAAUUUGACCUCGGAUCAGGUAGGAAUACCCGCUGAACUUAAGCAUAUC